AUACUGUAACAUUAUGUAGCCUCACUCUCUUCCUCAACAGACACAUUCCCAAGCCAAAACAGAUUAUACGGUCUGUGUGGAAAAGCAACAAGUUUAUCCAAGGUGCCUACAGCUUCAUACAUUCCGGUCCUACUAACAUAGCAGAUCAUGAUCUGCUUGGAAAACCUCUGCCUUCUUCUGAGGACCCUGUGUUGUUAUUUGCUGGUGAGGCUUACAGUUCACGCCACUUCUCAUCCGCCCAUGGUGCUGUGCAGACUGGGGAGGACGCAGCAAGAACCAUACUGAAUAUGUACAAGAAAUAGAGGAGAAACACGAUGAACAAUUAUGUAGCAGCCUUAGUGGUGUAGUGGUUAAACCAUGAAAAUUAAAGCAUUAAAAUAAAGUUAAAAUUAAAUGAAAUUAAAAGUACCAAUAUAGGAAAA